UAACGCGUGAGCAACCUACCCUAUACAACGGGAUAACACAGAGAAAUCUGUGCGUAAUACGGUAUAAGACCACAAGGAAGGCAUCUUACCGGUGGUAAAAGAUUUUUAUCCGGUAUAGGAGGGGCUCGCGUCUCAUUAGAUAGUUGGUGAGGGUAACGGCCCACCAAGUCAACGAUGGGUAGCCGACCUGAGAGGGUGAACGGCCACACUGGAACUGAGAUACGGUCCAGACUCCUACGGGAGGCAGCAGUGGGGAAUAUUGGGCAAUGGAGGCAACUCUUCGACCCAGCAACGCCGUGUGAAUGAAGAAGGUCUUCGGAUUGUAAAGUUCUUUAAUUGGUGACGAAAGAAAUGACGGUAGCCAAAGAAUAAGCCACGACUAACUACGUGCCAGCCGCCGC
rnacentral:rRNA from 1 species